rnacentral:rRNA from 1 species
AGAGUUUGAUCCUGGCUCAGGAUGAACGCUAGCUACAGGCUUAACACAUGCAAGUCGAGGGGCAGCGCAGUGUAGCAAUACAUGGGCGGCGACCGGCGCACGGGUGCGUAACGCGUAUCCAACCUUCCCGUUACUCAGGGAUAGCCUUCCGAAAGGGAGAUUAAUACCUGAUGGUGUUGAAAUUCCGCAUGUUAUUUCAACUAAAGAUUUAUCGGUAACGGAUGGGGAUGCGUGACAUUAGAUAGUAGGCGGGGUAACGGCCCACCUAGUCUACGAUGUCUAGGGGUUCUGAGAGGAAGGUCCCCCACACUGGAACUGAGACACGGUCCAGACUCCUACGGGAGGCAGCAGUGAGGAAUAUUGGUCAAUGGUCGGAAGACUGAACCAGCCAAGUAGCGUGAAGGAUGAAGGUUCUAUGGAUUGUAAACUUCUUUUAUACGGGAAUAAAACCUCCCACGUGUGGGAGCUUGUAUGUACCGUAUGAAUAAGCAUCGGCUAACUCCGUGCCAGCAGCCGCGGUAAUACGGAGGAUGCGAGCGUUAUCCGGAUUUAUUGGGUUUAAAGGGAGCGUAGACGGGAGAUUAAGUCAGUUGUGAAAGGCUGCGGCUCAACCGCAGCACUGCAGUUGAUACUGGUUUCCUUGAGUUCGGUUGAGGUAUGUGGAAUUCGUGGUGUAGCGGUGAAAUGCUUAGAUAUCACGAAGAACUCCGAUUGCGAAGGCAGCAUACUAAGCCGAUACUGACGUUGAGGCUCGAAAGUGUGGGUAUCAAACAGGAUUAGAUACCCUGGUAGUCCACACGGUAAACGAUGAAUACUCGCUGUUGGCGAUAUACAGUCAGCGGCCAAGCGAAAGCAUUAAGUAUUCCACCUGGGGAGUACGCCGGCAACGGUGAAACUCAAAGGAAUUGACGGGGGCC